rnacentral:rRNA from 1 species
CCCGUUCGUCGGUGUUUAACUGGCAUGCCUGUGCGGACGUCCUGCCGGUGGAUGCGGUCGGCCGUGGGCCUCUGGUCUGCGCGUCGGCGGUCCGAUUCAAUCCUACCGCGGUGCUCUUCACCGAGUGUCGAGGUGGGCCGGCACGUUUACUUUGAACAAAUUAGAGUGCUCAAAGCAGGCAGUGGUUCGCCUGAAUAUUGUGUGCAUGGAAUAAUGGAAUAGGACCUCGGUUCUAUUUUGUUGGUUUUCGGAACUUGAGGUAAUGAUUAAUAGGGACAGACGGGGGCAUUCGUAUUGCGACGUUAGAGGUGAAAUUCUUGGAUCGUCGCAAGACGAACCUAAGCGAAAGCAUUUGCCACGAGUGUUUUCAUUAAUCAAGAACGAAAGUUAGAGGUUCGAAGGCGAUCAGAUACCGCCCUAGUUCUAACCAUAAACGAUGCCAGCUAGCGAUCCGCCGAAGUUCCUCCGAUGACUCGGCGGGCAGCUUCCGGGAAACCAAAGCUUUUGGGUUCCGGGGGAAGUAUGGUUGCAAAGCUGAAACUUAAAGGAAUUGACGGAAGGGCACCACCAGGAGUGGAGCCUGCGGCUUAAUUUGACUCAACACGGGAAACCUCACCAGGCCCGGACACCGGAAGGAUUGACAGAUUGAGAGCUCUUUCUUGAUUCGGUGGGUGGUGGUGCAUGGCCGUUCUUAGUUGGUGGAGCGAUUUGUCUGGUUAAUUCCGAUAACGAACGAGACUCUGGCCUGCUAACUAGUCGCUUCCGGUAUCCCUUCGUGCUACCGGCAACUAAUGAUCUUCUUAGAGGGACAGGCGGCUUCUAGCCGCACGAGAAUGAGCAAUAACAGGUCUGUGAUGCCCUUAGAUGUUCUGGGCCGCACGCGCGCUACACUGAAGGAAUCAGCGUGUCCUCCUAGCCCGAAAGGGCCGGGUAACCG